rnacentral:lncRNA from 1 species
UGAAAGAGUCCUAAUCAAUCCACACUCAUAAAUAUCCGUGGAACGCCGUCCAUACUUAGUCAAUCAAUGUAAGUCCUUGGAACCAAAUCGAAAAUCAAAUUCAAAUCGCGAAGUAGAACUAGUGUCGCCGAUGUAACUCGUGAAGCCGUAACAUCGGGGAAAAUAAGGAUAACUAUAGUCGGAGAAAGAGUAUCGCCUAACUAAGGCCCAAACUAUCAGACUCAAGUCUGCUACACCAGUCUACAGGGAUCUAAGCCGGCCGAGCGACGUCAGGGCAAAACUAAGGCCUAUUGGAUC